rnacentral:rRNA from 1 species
GCGAACGGGUGAGUAACACGUGGGCAAUCUGCCCUUCACUCUGGGACAAGCCCUGGAAACGGGGUCUAAUACCGGAUAACACUUCUGCUCUCAUGGGCAGGGGUUAAAAGCUCCGGCGGUGAAGGAUGAGCCCGCGGCCUAUCAGCUUGUUGGUGAGGUAAUGGCUCACCAAGGCGACGACGGGUAGCCGGCCUGAGAGGGCGACCGGCCACACUGGGACUGAGACACGGCCCAGACUCCUACGGGAGGCAGCAGUGGGGAAUAUUGCACAAUGGGCGAAAGCCUGAUGCAGCGACGCCGCGUGAGGGAUGACGGCCUUCGGGUUGUAAACCUCUUUCAGCAGGGAAGAAGCGAAAGUGACGGUACCUGCAGAAGAAGCGCCGGCUAACUACGUGCCAGCAGCCGCGGUAAUACGUAGGGCGCAAGCGUUGUCCGGAAUUAUUGGGCGUAAAGAGCUCGUAGGCGGCUUGUCACGUCGGGUGUGAAAGCCCGGGGCUUAACCCCGGGUCUGCAUUCGAUACGGGCUAGCUAGAGUGUGGUAGGGGAGAUCGGAAUUCCUGGUGUAGCGGUGAAAUGCGCAGAUAUCAGGAGGAACACCGGUGGCGAAGGCGGAUCUCUGGGCCAUUACUGACGCU